GUGCAGCAGUCGCGAAACCUCCGCAAUGCGGGAAACCGUGACGGGGUCACCCCGAGUGCCACCCGAAGAGGGUGGCUUUUCCCCGGUCUAAAAAGCCGGGGGCAAUAAGCGGGGGGCAAGUCUGGUGUCAGCCGCCGCGGUAAUACCAGCCCCGCGAGUGGUCGGGACGUUUAUUGGGCCUAAAGCGUCCGUAGCCGGCCCGGUAAGUCCCUCCUUAAAUCCACGGGCUCAACCCGUGGGCUGGGAGGGAUACUGCCGGGCUAGGGGGCGGGAGAGGCCGAGGGUACUCCCGGGGUAGGGGCGAAAUCCGUUAAUCCCGGGAGGACCACCAGUGGCGAAGGCGCUCGGCUGGAACGCGCCCGACGGUGAGGGACGAAAGCUGGGGGAGCAAAGGGGAUUAGAUACCGCGUAG
rnacentral:rRNA from 1 species